rnacentral:lncRNA from 1 species
UACCUCGAGAUUUUUCAUACUGAUAUCGUCGCCGUCUGGAAUAAAUACGUCGCACCUCGAAAGCAUAAAAAUUAAUUAUUUGGUUGAAAAUGAAGGGACUUGAUCUUUCAAAAAAUGAUCCGUCAUAUUUUCUCUCAUCAUUGCUUGGACGGACGAUUUGAAAAUAUCAAAUAAGAGCGCGAUAAAUGUCAACGUCCGGUUGGCUUAUCAGCUUGGGC